UGAAUAUAGUUUAUUAAAAUUCUAGUCCGUGAAUCUAGAGAUGAGAGUUAAAAACU
rnacentral:tRNA from 1 species